CAGAAGAGAGCCCUCCCAGCACUAGCAAUAUGCUGAUAGAGUUCCAGGAGAACGUCUCCUCGAAAGACAAAAUGGCUCUGUAAAAUCAUAUUCAGGAGUGCAGUGAAUUGCUGCUCAAACUGAAGAAUUUGAAAUUACCACAUUGUAAAAUAGCUCAGCUGGGGGUGCUCAGGUAGCCCCGAAACCACCUGGGGGAAGUAGCCACCAGCCACAAUGGAAAACACCUGGCCUUUUUUGAUCACUGCAGACCUCAGAGGAAAUCAAGUCCUGCACUGUGCCUGGGGGCCUGGCCACAGUGAGGAAACACUUUGGGAACGGGCAGAUGACCCCUUCAAUGACCAUCUUUGCUCACUCCCAGUACCAGCACAAAGCUGCAGAGGAGAUCUCAGGUACCACUCAGCUCCCCCUAUCAAGCAACACCAGGGAAGCUGAGUGCAGUGCAACAGCCACCAACGAAGGCCCACUGGAAGCCUUUCAAAGCCAAGAGGUUUCUCUCAGGGAGAGAGGGCUUCUACGCUGACCCAGCAUACUGAUGAAGCAGUAAGCAAUGCAGCUAUGGAUGGGACAAGGAGGUCCCAAAGACUUCCAGAGACGUUUUUGACCAUCAGAUGAAAAGGGCAGCAGAGGAGAACGCUGCUCCCAUAGAUAGAGAGACUGCAACAUCUGCACAAGAUGACAAGGGCUGUGCCUUGAUAGAAAUGUGGAAGAUUAGACAUCAGUCUAAUAGAGUCUGAAUUUCUAUCUUCUCUAUGGAGUUGUAAUUAAAAAUGCAACCUGUGAAAGUGGUGGGAAUAUACGCAGUUUAGCAGUCAGGGGCACACGUAGUAGUGUUUAGUACAGCCUGGAAUUCAGUGAGUACUUUCUGCUGUGUGACAACACUGCUGGAAGUUGAACUCAAAUGCUUCUGCUUUUCCUUUCCUUCUCUGAUGAAGGAAGCCUCUUUCCCUGUUCCCAG